rnacentral:pre_miRNA from 1 species
AACAUGACCCAAACACUGGCACUGACUUGACAUUUCAGAUAGAGUAAGUGCUACUUGUUGGGGUAAUUUUA